GUGUUCACGGAGCGUUAAGCCUUUAUCCCACAAAACGGCUCCGUGUGACCUGGUCAGACAAAAGCCAACCUCUAUCUUCCUCUCAGAGGGGACCUGGGCUGAGCCCCGCAUACAGUGGCGCUGCUCUGGGGAGGGGUGAGAAGGCCGCAGAGCUAGGUCCCUGGCGCAGGGGUGUGGGCAGGGCAGAUUGCCCGGUCCGCCUGCAUUCACCCAGUCUUGGUGGGCACCUGUUUCGGAGCUCUGAGGCUCCAGCGUCUCCUCUUAGGCCCAUACCCUGGGUCCCUUCAAAACUGGCAAUGAGUGCCUUCGCAGAGACAAGGCCCUGCAGCCUUUGGCCCCGGACUCCUCCAGCAUCCGACCCCUCCCCCACCUCCCCAUACCCUAGGCGGUAGGUCCUGGACGUGUUGGGCACCAGUGGGGUGGGUGAGCCCUGGGGCCUGUGAAGACCACACACAGGAGCCAUGAGCUUGUCUGUGUGUGCACGGGUGGGUGUCAGUGUGCCUGUGUAAGGGACAGCGACAAGCUGGCCGAAGGAUGACUUCCUACACGGCUGGGUUCUCAAGUGAACCUGUUUGGGGUUUCCAUGGACCUUAUUGGAACUCCGGAGCGUGGGUCCCGUGUGGGGCUGCUCUAGCUGACUGCUGUCAGUCCAGGAUACUUCCCCACAGGAAGCUGACCUACUGUUUGCCUGGCCUAUGCUUGCGGAGGCACAGUAAGGAUGAGAGUGAUGAAGAUGGGACCCAGGAAGGAAGUCCAGCAGAUAGAGCCUUGCGUGGGGACAUCCAGGGACAUCCCUGGCCACAUCUCCUUCCCAAUCGUGAAGGAUUCACCUGGGAGCUGUGCUCCAUAGAUUUGACAUAGGGAAGCAUGGAUUCAGAAACCCUUUUCUACCCUCCAUCCCAUGACAGAAGCUUCAUGCUCAGGACUCACCCAAACAGACAAUAAUGGAAUUGUAGGAAAAAUGAGCCUGGUUCUUCGCGGCUGCUGAAUAGAUGCAUGUAUGAGAUACAGGGAGAAAUGCAUGACCAUACAGACCCUUAAGCAGCAAGUACUCUGAGCCAGGAUUGGGGAUCACCGAGGAGAUGCAUCUGAGGGAGUUUCCAGAGGUGUGACUGAGGAGGGACACCCUACCCUGAAUGUGGGCAACACCAACCCAGUGACUGGGGUCCUGGACUGAAUGAAAAGGAGAAAUAGAGUGGAUACUCAGCAUUUGUCUUGCUCUGACUGACUAUAGACGCAGUGUGACCAGCUGGCUCACCCGCCUGCCACCAUGCUUUCCCCACCAUGAUGGAGAAGCUAUGAGUCAAAAAAAACAAAAACAACUUCUUCCUCUUUGAGUUACUCCUCAUGCAUGUCUUUGUAAUUUCUUUAUUCUUGAGAAUUUCAUAAGUGCAUACAAUAAAAUAUGAUCACAUCCCUC